rnacentral:rRNA from 1 species
UGCACCUGAGGAUCGGCCCGCGGCCCAUCAGCUUGUUGGCAGGGUAACGGCCUACCAAGGCAAAGACGGGUAGCUGGUCUGAGAGGAUGAUCAGCCACACUGGAACUGAGACACGGUCCAGACUCCUACGGGAGGCAGCAGUGGGGAAUCUUGCGCAAUGGGCGAAAGCCUGACGCAGCGACGCCGCGUUGGUGAUGAAGGCCUUCGGGUCGUAAAGCUCUGUGGGGAGGGACGAA